UGCGAGCUCCCCCUGUGCGAGCCCCCAUGCUUUCUACUUUGGAAAGACCGCGGAGCCUCCAGGCGGAGGAGAGGCCAGUGCAUUCUCUGCAGAGAGCGCCAGAAUAUUCCAGAAGCCUGCAAAAAUUACAAGCAUAAUUCUUGACGUAAGCAAAACGUCUCUUCCUCCUGCUUGGGGGAGGACGACCACCUAGGGACGAUACAGCUCCCCGCUGGGGUUUGGACCAGAUGCAGGGGACGAAGGCCAGGAGGGCACUAAGAUUGGCUCCCUUCUCUGCUCAGCACACACACCCACACACACUGUAUGUCAUUGUCUCAGCCAAGGGGGAGCAACACGUUUCAAGUGUAGCCAAGCCCAGGAACAUACUUUUAUGGAAUUCAACAAGCUAGCCAGCAUGAGAGAAAGAAUCGCCAGACGCAAAAUCUUUAUGGUGUGGAUAAGGUGUAAACGAGAAAAGAAAUACAGUAAUGGCACCUUCCAUAAAGUGUCCAACCUUUGAUUUUCAAGACAAUCAUGAUCCUAAAAGAUUCUGUGAAAGUCUGAAAGCACCUCGUUCGUCCUGGGCCCAAUGUGCGUAACUGGUGAAUGAAAGAAGAAAUGAAUGAGGGAAGCAGCAGCAUAUUUGCUGAGAGCAGAGAACAGCAAAUCCAGAAAUUCAUUUUAGAGGCAAGAGAAGUGUCCCUUUCCUGAAAACUCUACAAAACAAGAUCAGCAGUUUCGAAGAGGAGUUAACCGCCCUUUCCAGGUCCCUUCUAGUCUACAAUUCCGGUAUUUUUUAAAAUAAAUCUGCCAAUACAAUUUUUAGAUUAAUAAUAGCACUGCAAUCAUUAUUUUGCCACUUGAGUAGAUGAGCGUCUGAGACAGAGGUGAACAGCCGGCCUGGCCUCCAUCAUCUAAUCAAGCCCUGAGCAGCCCUUGUCUUGAGGUAGCAUGGCCACCAUUCCACUUCUUAGCAUUAUUUCCAUCAGAGAAAAGAGGCAAUAAGGAGAUUUUUGUUAAGUAGAGCUCUUUAGUCUGUGCAAUUUUACCCUCACCGCUGAUUAAUUUACCAGCCUCACAUUCUUUACUCGAGGGUAUGUAAAUUGUUUAAAAAGUUGAAGUCCCAUAUUAGUUUUGUGAAGUUCUGCAGAAAUGUUUGACUAUGUUCCCCUUAAAAAUAACUGAUUUAGAACAUCAUGCUUAAUCUGUCAAGACUGUUGAUUUAUCUGCAACUUCUUUUUGGGUUACCAGGGAUCAAACUUGAGUCUUUGUGUUUGCGAGGCAGGUGACGGCAUGCAACUUCUUCCUGUGUCAAAAUAAUUGGAUUGACCAGUUUGGUGGACAAAAAUAAAGGGUGUAAUAUACCUUUC